AGAACAAGAUGACAUUGAUUCCAAAAUUCUCCACCUUUUUGAAUUAUCGGAUCAAUUCUCAAGGAUGGAAAAGUACUCUAUUGACGACAAAGAGGAAUUAAAAAAGACAAUUGAUGAGAUUCGACCUUCACAUUUUAGGAACCUGCAACAACUUUCGAUAAAAUGUUGUGAUCAAAUGCUAAACAAAUUGUUGUCUAUAUUGAUGAAGAGAGCAAAUAAGCUUGAAGAUAUCAGCAUUGAGCAAUGCAAAACUUUGGAACAUUUGUUUGAUCUCAAGGAGUUUACCCCUGACAAUGAUGGACAUGGAAAAUAUUUUACACAAAUAAAGAGAUUGAUAUUGAUAGAACUACAUGACUUGAAAUGCAUAUGGAACAAGAAUCCAAUAGGAUUUAUUGGUUUUGAAAAUUUGCAAAUGGUACACAUAAUAGAUUGUUCCUCUCUACAAAAGUUAUUCACUCCUUCUGUAGCUGAGAAGCUCAGUCAACUAAAUGAACUAAAGUUAGAGGCAUGUGAAAUGUUACAGGAAGUUAUUUACAAUGGUAUUAUUGACAAUGGUAUCAUUGGAACAAUUAAGUUCCCAGCAUUAAAUAAGGUGGAGUUCAAGUCUCUCUCAAGAUUGACUCGCUUUUACUUGUUUCCUUUAGAAUUCCCUCAACUAACAUCCUUGAUAAUAGAAAAAUGUCCUCAACUAGAAGAAUUUACAACUGGGUUUGCA
rnacentral:sRNA from 1 species